rnacentral:rRNA from 1 species
UACGUAGGGUGCAAGCGUUGUCCGGAAUUAUUGGGCGUAAAGAGCUCGUAGGCGGUCUGUCGCGUCUGCUGUGAAAACUCGGGGGCUUAACUGUGGGCUUGCGGUCGAUACGGGCAUCACUGGAGUUCGGCAGGGGAGACUGGAAUUCCUGGUGUAGCGGUGAAAUGCGCAGAUAUCAGGAGGAACACCGGUGGCGAAGGCGGGGUCUCUGGGCCGAUACUGACGCUGAGGAGCGAAAGCGUGGGGAGCGAACAGG